CUUGGUCAUUUAGAGGAAGUAAAAGUCGUAACAAGGUUUCCGUAGGUGAACUGCGGAAGGAUCAUUACCGAGAGAAGGGGUCUAACCGGCUCCACUCUUCACCCGUGUAUACCCUUCACCUGUUGCUUUGGCGAGCCGUCGAGCCCCGCUGCUCGGCGUCGGCUGGAAGGUCCACGCCCCCCGUCCGACGAGCGCUCGCCAGAGGCCUCCAGCAUUCUUCUUUUGAUGAUGUCCGAGGGGAUUGAGCAAUAACUAAAACUUUCAACAACGGAUCUCUUGGUUCUGGCAUCGAUGAAGAACGCAGCGAAAUGCGAUAAGUAAUGUGAAUUGCAGAAUUCAGUGAACCAUCGAAUCUUUGACCUACGCACAUUGCGCCCUUCGGCAAUCCGGGGGGCAUGCCUGUUCGAGCGUCAUUAGCGCUCAAGCAUUGCUUGGUCCUGGGGGCAGCCUCCGUGGCCCUCCCGAAAGGCAGUGGUGGCUCAACGAGACCCCCGGCGUAGCAAGAUUUUACGUCCCGCCCCGGUCGCUCUCGAUUGGUCCGACCAGCCGAAAGUGUUCACUUCCAUGACUGACCUCGGAUCAGGUAGGGAUACCCGCUGAACUUAAGCAUAUCAAUAAGCGGAGGA
rnacentral:rRNA from 1 species